rnacentral:tRNA from 1 species
UGGGAGGUCGUCCAACGGCAGGACACGGGGCUCUGGACCCCGGUAUGAAGGUUCGAAUCCUUCCCUCCCAGCCA